AUGAUGGACUUACUGAUUAAGGGUAAGCAUUUUGGAGAAGUUGCGGCUUAUGUACAUGUCACUGAGUUUUGGAAACGAGGCCUCCCUCAUGAGCAUAUACUUCUAAUCAUGAAAGCUAAAAGUAAGUUAAGGACCCCGGAUGACUAUGAUCGGGUGAUAUCGGCAGAGAUACCCGACAAAAAUAAAUGGACAAUGUCGGUUUCAUUACCCGCGAGAUUUCUGUGA
rnacentral:rRNA from 1 species